CCAAUCCCCCUGUGAUUGUCACACCCCAACGUAGCCUCAGAGGAACUCCGGCACUGCGUGAUAUCUGUGUGUCGCCUGCAACAAUUGCCUUGGAAUACAUUGUUGAGACAAGCUUGUUAUACUGUAACAAUCCAAGAAGAAAGCGAGUCACCUCCAUCCUUUUCAGAAUCACUCUCCGUGAGGUAUUGCAUGCUGCUCUUUAUGUCAAGAGGACUUAUUUUGAUUCUCACAGAAAAGAGCCAAACAUUACUCAACCGGUGAAGGUGGAUGAUUGUAUUUAUGCACAUUGGGCACACGACCACCAAGUGCAGAUUUUUUUUUUUUUGCCAUCAAAGCAAUAUUGAUAACAGGAAACUCUAUCUGGAAAGCCAACCCCAGCCUUGGUGUCACUACCAUAUUUGUUCUUUCGACGAUUCUGAAAAGUGAUUUUGUGUGUGUGUGCUAGUACAAACACAGCAGAGCUAAGCCCCAACCAGCGCUUAUGAAAGGAAACUAACUGUAAAAGAAUGAUUUCCCACCUGGAUUCAGCCUGGAUAAGCAGUUUGAAAAAGGGAGCAGCGCUUUGUGCACCGUCGACUACAUUACUGAGUCUGCGCGGGCAAGGCCGCAAUACUGCAACAUUCAUUGUCUGAUUCCACUGCACCACUGCUCGACUGCGAAAAAAAGUCUUCAGUAAAGAGUAUGAGAAGUUGUUAAAUCAUGCCAAGUGGAAGAAUAUACAAACUUAGUGAGAGAUUACAGCUGCAGUCACUUCACAUCAGGCGGAUCCACCAGGGAGCUAAUGGAGACAGAAGAAACAGAAGGAGCCGUCUCUUCUCACUCUUAACCAUAGGGGGGGAUUGAUAUGCUGAAAAAAAAAGGAUGGGAAUCACAAAGGAUAAGGCAGAGAGAUGUAGGGCUUCGCUACACAUUGGGCCUGUCAACUUCUGUAGCCAGUUUUUAUAUUUCCUCUCCGUCUUUGGCUCCCUUCAGAUUGGCUAAGAGCUGUUUUCGCACUCCACUGAUCAGUCUGGGGGAGGAUAGAGAUGAGGGAAGGUUUGGAAAAUUCCGAAAUAGUCGACUGAUAAAGGAGAAUGGGAUAUUUAGUAUCCUUACAUGUCAGGUUUCAGUUGUAAAAUACCCUGAAGCGAUCUCUGGAUAGAAAGUUGUUUUAGCAGGUACUGUGGGUGACAUGUCUAAUGGUAUGUUCACAACAAAAGCAAAGCAAAUUAUUUGCAUGAGUAGAUUCCAUGCAAAUUCUGACGCGAACGGUUGCGAAUUUUCAACGGGCAUUGCGAAUGGCGCGGUGCAUAAGACAUGAACAAAGUCGAUGGAGCGAAGCGAAUACUUCGCCUCAUUCGGCAAACUGUCUUGCGAAAGCCAAUCAGCAUUGACAUACUCUGCCUGUCAUCAUCGCCGUCCUGCUGCCAAAGCAUGAAUAUAUUUCAUUAAACUGCCACUCACCAGAGACAGAUAGGUGUUCCACAGCUGAGAUUGAACGCCUGUAGGUGGUGUCCAACCGAGAGAUCCUGGCUCCGAUCCAACCAAACAGGUUAUAAAAACUGGCUACUGGUUAGCCUAAAGUAGUGCUGGAAGCGGGAGUCAUCCAGACGCAGUUCCUGGAGUUGGUCAACUUCACCGGCGACUGCGGGGACAGAUGAUGUCAUAAACCCAAACACAACAGCGUUUGUGGAAUCUCCACCACAAGUACAGAGCACAAAUAUUAGCGGAAGUAAUAACUGUCUUUAUGGAGACAUGCCACGGAGAUAAGCCAUGCCCCUUUUCUGGCACGAAUGAAGGAGAUGCGAAUAGUAGGGCGAGUAAAGCCUUGCUUUUGGUGUGAAUGUACCGUCAUAGUCAGUUUGCUAUCAUUGUUGCAUUAACUGUACUGCUGGCUGCUAAAGUAGGCAAUGAAACUUUUGUGAGCGCCCCACCCCCAAUUUUGAGGUGAAGGCCAGGCCACCAAAGACAGAUUGUUGCUGAUUCAGACCUGCUUCUCUUGGUUUUUUUUUUAAAUAUUGUUUCCACCACAAUGUGAGUGGAGUGGUUGAUCCCCUCCAACCCUGUAUGCAGGUAGAUGGCUGUCCCCAGAUUCAUACCUUUUUUUUAAUCAGUAUUAUUGGUGUCAACACAACUACAAACAAAUGGGAUUUCUUCGGUCAUUCUCCAAAGGAGCAAAUAACAAGCAUUGUUCCUAACAAAUUGUGAGUUAUACAGAGGUUUACUUCAGAGGGUUUGUGAGAAACAGAUGGAACCAGUGUUUUCCAUCAUUUGUAUACUUUCCACCUUCCUCAAUUUAAAAUCUCAGUACUGGUUCAGGUCACAUACAUGCAUCCUGGAUGGAGUAGGUUUCAUUUAGUAAAUUUUUCGAGAAACAUAAGUUAGCACUUAUGAUAUAUUCCUGAGAAACAUGUGGAAUUACUUUUGCAUGUUUACUUCUUACCGUACUGUGACAAUACAGAAAACGGAUUACAUAAAAUGUACACAACCCUGAGCGCAAGAUCCCCCCACAGGUUUGUUCAUGGUGGAGAUAACAAUCCCUUUGAUAUGUGAGGGUUACUUCAUUUUGAGGCAAAUAAAUGCAGUUGCAUUCAUAACUUUAUUCAGAUUCCCAAAUGUUUAAUGUUGCACCCUGAUCAACUAGGGAUAAGCUCCUUAUGAAGAGAUGUACAGUGUAUUAUUAGUUAUUAAGUACACAGAACCAGCAAGUAAAUACUGUACAUCAGUUUUGAUGUAAUCACAACAGAAUGCAGCUGUAGACACAUACACGCAAUUUUAUUUGUAUAGCUCUUUUCAUACACAAGGCAGACUCAAAGUGCUUCACAUUAUAACAUUUCAUACAAUGAGUGAAAUAAAAUGCAGGAAUUACUUAAUAAAAUGUAGAAAUAUAUUACACAGACGGCUUAUACAAGAUUACAAGAUUAUAAAAUAGCAGUGUAAUUUUGAACUCUUUAAUUCCUGCAUUUUGGGUAUAUUAGAGUAGUGGAGGUGAAUUUGUUCAAAGAAUUACCAUCAGCCAAUAACAGUAUGUACUGUAUGUGCUCUCCGUUCAACUAGUCAGCUCUCACGGAGGGACAGCUGGUGGGACCGCUCUAUAUUGAACUGCAUAGAAUCAAAGUUAAUAUGUGUGGCUUUGAGCGACUACUCUACAUUUUCUUGUUUCAUUUAAAUGCAUUCGUAUAAUUUAGUUUUCACAGACAGAUAACCCCAUACAGUAAGGUUCACAACAAUCCAUUGGAUCACAAAUGCCCGAGAUUGGCAGCAUGGUGCAGGGCCUUGCACAGCCCAUUCUAGGAGAGGCUCAAACACUAGAGGACCUUAUUCAUCUCACCAUCCAGUUGGAUGCUCUGAUGUGGCACCACAAGUUUUCGGCACCGGUUCGUCAGUACUUAACUCAUUUCCCUUUUCAGUCUCCAGAUUGACCUCACCACCGUAGUCCAAGCCACCCACACCUAUGUAGUUAGUUAGUAGGGUGGUUCCAUCUGUCUUAGGGGGAGAGGAAGCGGCAAAUCUGUUCAGGAGCCUGCCUGUACUCCAGCGAGCUGAGCCACCGUGUUCCUGUCUGACCAUUGCAACAAAAAAAGUGCUCGCCAGUAAGAGUGGGACUACUGGCGAACAACUGUACAAUUUUCCCUUGUCCCAAGCCUGUGUCACACUUCCAGGUUUGCCUGCAGUCCGAUUGCCUUUCGGUCUUGGUGCUUAUUGACUCUGGAGCGGUUUUUGGGCUCAUCUUUAGCCUUCGCUAAGGAUCCCCUUGGAGGAGUUGGAAUGGAAAUGUCCAGAUGGUCUCCUCACCAACAGUACUCAUCAUACGUGCCCUAUUCCCCAGCUUGUGUCAGGAAACAACCGACAUGAGAUCCGUCUGUACAUCUACCCCAUGCUCCAGAAAGUUGUGGUUCUGGAACAUCCAUGGCUCUGGGACCACAAUCUGGCAAAAAAUAAAAUCCUCUGUGGGAGCCCUACAUAAGUGUUCUCCAGUCCGGCAUGCCCUGACAGACCUCUUCUAUUUGAAUCCCCACUACCGAAAUCUCGAUCCCAUUGGAGUAUGGAGAUCUUAGCCAGGCAUUCAAGGAACAAGCUUUUUCACUGCCACAACACUACAAUUGCACCAUAGAACUCUUUCCCGGCGCCAUCUUGCCUUCCAGCUGACUGUACAACCUUUCCCGACCGGAAUGCGAAGCUAUGGAGACCUAUAUCACAGACUCCCUUGCUGCCGUCAUUGUGUUCUCCCCCGUGGGAGCGGGGUUCUUCCUCGUGGCCAAGACGGACAAGACGAGUCUCCAGCCUUGCAUUGACUACCGAGGUUUAAACCAGACCACCACACGGAAUAAGUACCCACUACCCCUGCUCAGAUAUGCCUUUGACUCCCUACUCGAUACCAAUGCUAAUCACUUUGUUCGGAUAUGACAGGAGGAUGACUGGAAAACUGCUUUCAACACCCCCUGGGACACUUUGAGUACCUGGUUAUGCCAUUCGGACUUGCACCACCCAUUUAAAAUGAUUUAGUGAACGACGUGCUCAGAGAUUUUCUCAACCGGUUUGUGUUUGUCUACAUUCUCAUAUACUACUUGAAUCUACAGGAAUAUAGUCACCAUAUCCGUCAAGUCCUCUAGUGCUUACUGGAGAACUCUACAUCAAGAAGUUUGAAUUUCACACCUCAGUACAAUUUCUGGAUUUUAUCACUGAGGGUCAGAUUUGCAAGGACCUGGUUAUAGCAGUUCUAGAGUGGCCGAUCCCCUCUAACCGAAAUAAGCUUGUUUUUGCACAUUUCUACCCCCGGAGUUAGGGGCAUCGCCGUCUGGCUGUAGACGGCGUUGCCCCUAAGUCUACUCACCUCCCCUAAGGUAGAUUUUCCCACCGUGGGAUAAGACAAACCAACUGGCUCCGCCGCUCCUUCUGGUAGCCGUUUUUGGACAAACAUUACUCAUGUGGAACAAGCUAAGACGUAGGCUUGAGUGUCGAGCCUACGUCUUCAGCCUAGUUUAUGCUUCUGCGUUUUCAGAGCGACGCAGAAGCAAGAGCCCCUUGCAUGCCAUUUCACACCUCCUUGCGUGCGUCGACCGAUUUUUCUAGGCUUGCGUCGCUUUCAAUUUUCGAAUUAGGGGUUAGGUGUCUUGCUCGGGGACACUUCGACUUGAGACAUGGGGCAGCUGGGACUCAAACCAUCACCCUUGAGGUUCCCAGCGCACUCGCUCUCCCCCUGCGCCACGAUGACCCACCCCAAGUCUGAUAGACUGACAAACAAGGCCUGGAGGAAUAGUGCUUAUAUGUUGCCAGGAGAUCAUGGAUGACACGUAUGUCGGCCAGUUGACGAUCGGCUUGAUCCUCUGCAGCUGUCCACCAAUCAGAGGCGUGAACAUAGGGUGCCGUCCCGAGGGUGGCAGAGGAAAAAAGCACACAACACAUGGUAUGACAAACGGGAAUGACAGAACACACGAGGAGAGUCAAUCGGGGAAAACAAACAAACAAACAAACACACAAUGAAUUAGACAAGGAUCCUAAUAAUACUGCAAUCUAGUCAUCAGAAUAUGCCAGACAAUGUGCUUCACAGAAUUCUAUUAGCGCUGCCUUCAGAUUGAUGCAUGAAAACAAGAUAUUGCAUGAGAAACAACAAUUUGAUGAUUAUCUCAGGUUAUUUAUUCAGGAGUUUUAAGGAUAUUGAAUAAUUCAUUUAUAUACCCUUAAAUGGCUGAUAGUUUGUUGUCUCUAUUCAGGACUGACAAAAUUUAUACCAUAACAUGCACCAAUUGUUUGUCAGAUAUCAGCCGACUAUGCAAAUAGAUUUCUCUCUAAUAAAAAAAAAAGAUCUUUAGCAUUAUAACAUAAUACCAACACCAUUUCUCAUAACCUUAGACUUAGAACAACAACUCAACAGAAGAGGCCAUAGCUCAUAUAGUUAUCUAACCCUUAAGGUUACAGAAGCAACAUGACCUCCCAAUCAAAGGACAAAACAUUUUGUUAGCUGUGACCCCCAGUGUACAAACUGAACUGAACAACUCUGUUUUCACUACGCUCUCAUACACAUAUCAUAUUAUUGACCUGGUAUAAAGACUUGAUGCUUGUGGUCCUCAGAGGACAUAUUGCUGGUUAUUUCUUGACUUACUAAAUAAUUAACUUCUCGUCAUCCUUUUUCUUUGGCUGUUUCUUCUGUCACUCUGGAGACAGAACACAUGUCUCCAUAGAUUUUUACAAUGAGAAUAUUUAAAGGAAACCGCAUGAAUAAAUCAAUGCCCUACAACGGGAUGUACUUAUCAGUAGCCAGAGCUUGUGACAGACAACUGGAUCAAACCCAGGUAGCCUCUGGUUUAGGUAUAUCCUACUUGACUGGGACUGUAAGUCUAGCAGAAUCUUUCACCUUAAUGUCUCUGGUAAACAGUAAAAAAAGUCUACUCUUUAUAUGAUAUUUUUUUAGCAUUUAGUCAACACUGCUAUACUUUUGGUAUAGUCUGAGCUUGGGCUUUAGGACUUCAGGCCUCUGUAGGAACAUAUUGAAGUAUAUCUGGUGAGUGUUCGUUUAGUGUAGUGUUUUUCAUUUCAACCAUUUGACCUCUUACUUUCCAUUUCUUGUGGCCAAGUAACAGAAGUGCGAGCCUUAGAUUGAAACGAAGACGAAGAAGUGCUAUCAGCCAAUCAGUAGUGCAAAGAGCUUUAUUCUGAUGUGUUUAGAAAACAUGAUUUUCAAUUUAAAACAUAAGGUUGGCAACUGAAACGACUUAUAUAAACCUGAAAUAAGAGAGCUUGCAAUGAUGGUUAAAAUAAAUCAACCACGAUGUUGGAAAGUCAAGUCAGUUUCAUAGUGCCAUACACAAAUGUGUUAGUUCUUCUUCUGAAGCAGGACUGUCAUUAUUGACUCGGCCACAAGAGGCUGUUUGUCAAGGUCAUUAUAAGUUAGCAACAUGGAUGUUCAGAUUGUUGAGUAUGAUGAUGGAAGUUACAGUUUUAAAAAUUACUCCGGCUUUCCUCGUCCCAACUGUCGGUCUGUCCGUUAACCAACGUGGUAUACCAGCUCUGGGUUUAAUUGGUUUCCACCCUAUGAGAUGUUGUUAAUAUCCUGUUUUUCUGCUACGCCCUCAAAGAGAUUACAAUAUAUCACUGUGGUUCUUGAAGGAAAUUUAGUUAGUGGGAUUUAUCAACCUCCGAUUAAGGCAUACUAAUACUGAUUGAAUUCUGCCGGCUCUGGUUUUGGCUUUUUUGGGCUUUUGUCCCUCCGUCUGUCCAGCCGCAUCUCUGCUACACUUCAACCACGACUCCAUUGUUUGUGUUUUCAUCAUGGCAGUGAUUGACAGGUGAUAACAGGAGGCGUGUACAAAAUUGGGUCAAACGAUCCGGGUAUGGUGGAUAAUUAAAUUGAAUAGCCUACUAAAAAUAUAAUUCAGUUCAUGAAGUUUCAUAAUUGUUCAAUGAAAUAUGACAACCUUUUAAUGGAGUUGAAUAGCUGAUCAUUUUAAAUGUAUAUAUAUAUAUAUAUAUAUAUAUAUAUAUAUAUAUAUUACACCCUGCCCCACGGAAUAACAUCCUGCCACAAUGUUAAGUUAAAGCUGGGGGAAGGACGCAUAGGCCUUCCUUGAAAGAUUUUUUUCUCCUGUUAGGGCAAAAGAUGUAAAACAGCCGUGAGAAGGUUAAGGUUAAGAGUUAAAGAUAAUGGUUAAAAUAUAAUGAACUGUUAUGAUUUAAGAUGUAGUAUUAUUGAAUUGUAUUAGCUGUUAGCAUACAUAAUAUUGCUAUCAUCUAUGUAAGGGCUUAUUCACAACUUUCACGCUUUGAUCCUAAGGUAUAUUCAUUGAAUGUAUUUGGAUGUUGAAACACAGAGAGGCAGAGGUUUCAGGCUGCAGAUAUUGGGGAGCUGGGAGCCACAGGGAUCUCGACUCAAAAGAAGACUCAAUGUGAGGUAAUCAGCUUUAGAAAACAAAACAAACAGACCUGUGAACAAAAACAGGUCGAAACACAGGAAGUCACACUGGGGUAAAUCACUGGUAAGCUCAUUGACUUACCAGAGACAAACUGGCACAGAACAAGUAGUAGAGACAGACUAAAUACACGGGGAAUGAGACAAACGUGGAAACAAUGAGGGCGGGGCUUGCAAUCACAGAGGAGGGCGUCACACAAGGAGGGAGGUGUCUGAAACAAGAGGCAAAGUGAAUCACAGAAAAUACAACAGACAGUGACCAGAAAAACUACUCAGAAGGCCUGGGUGUUACAGUGGAAUGCAGAGGACAACGGUGGAGGAGCCGCGUUUGAAUGUGCAGCCAAUCACAUACGGUUGCACACAAAGGACACACCAGUGGCGUUUCUAAAGAAGGACCGUUAGAAUCUUUGUAGGUCGCUUCAGACUUGGACUGAGGAUUCUCUAUUAUGCAAAAUAUUGUUCUAUUCACAUUGCAUUUCACUUUGUAACUGUAUUGCGUCUGUUAAUUAUUAAAUUAUUUUUGAUUUUUAAACUCGAGCCAGUUGACUCCCUUUGACUACUUAAUCUCCGGCCGGGGCGAAGGGGAAAGAGCAUUCCUUGAUCUGAGGUUCAGAACUUCACAGUACAUAAUAUAACAUGCAUUAUUAGAGACCUAAAUGAUGACUUGUUUGGUAAGGAUAUUGGUUAUUGUCUCAAAAUAAAUACAGUAAUAACGUAUUCAGGGUAUUAAUAAACCAGGAUGAUAUCAUCGAUCUUGAUGCUGUUGAAAAGACCAUGACAAAAACAGCACAAAAGUUGUUGUUGUUGUUGACAACAAAAUGCAAUCAAAGUCAUAUAAGAGAGACAUCAAAAUAAAAAUGUACAAACAUAAAGUACAUGGACCUCUACGCUGUCUCAGCAUAGAGGUAACAAUGACAGACAAUAAUAUUAUUUAUUAUUAUUAUUAUAUUAUAAUAAAUGACACGUAAUAAUGACAGAACCAGUCUGCCUGUAUGCCAGUAUUUCCUUCUUCGUAAUCCCAUAGUAUCAUUUGAGUCAAUCAGAGCUUAUUCUAAAGGCUGCGGUAGGACACUAGGACUUUAUUUCAAGAUGGAGGCGUGGCAUUAUUAUUCAUAUUAAAUAAUAAAACAAUUGUAGAUAUUUCUAAAGAACAAUAUCAGUGGUCAAUCUUUAAUUCAUCAAAGGUUCAAUUUCAAAUUGAUAUUCCUCUUACAGUUAGUAUCAUGUAGUAAAAGUGUGAGUGGCUGCUAGACAGCAGAUAUUCAUCUACUGGGAGAACAGCUUAAUAUCAAAAUGUAUAUGAGAGGAACUGAGAAAAACCUGUAGAGAUGACUGCUUUCAAGCAGCUAAGCUAUUUCUGACUGAAACAUGUCAAUAACGGGAAAGGUUAUGUACGUUCUGCUUUAUUGCCGCUUUAAAAAGAAAUUGCCUUUUUUGACUAAAUAGGGCUUUCUUUUUUACAGUUCUCCUUAUCUGUGCUCUGGGAUAGGAUAUGGCAUUGAUUUAAAACACUCAAGGCCCAUAAUCUGUUUUUUGGCCUCUGCUCUGAAAAUAGGCAUACCCAUGAUAAAAAGUGUCAUAUCUCUGGAACUACUUUGUCCAUCUGGAAAAAAAAUGUCAGGUACCCCUGAGAGUGUUCUGAUGCAUAAAAAUUAGUUGUAUGUUCCUGGU
ensembl:lncRNA